UGCUGGAGGUAUCAGAAGUGCGAAUGCUGACAUAAGUAACGAUAAAGCGGGUGAAAAGCCCGCUCGCCGGAAGACCAAGGGUUCCUGUCCAACGUUAAUCGGGGCAGGGUGAGUCGACCCCUAAGGCGAGGCCGAAAGGCGUAGUCGAUGGGAAACGGGUUAAUAUUCCCGUACUUGGUGUUACUGCGAAGGGGGGACGGAGAAGGCUAUGUUGGCCGGGCGACGGUUGUCCCGGUUUAAGCGUGUAGGUGUGUGUUCCAGGUAAAUCCGGUUCACUUUAACACUGAGGCGUGACGACGAGGCACUACGGUGCUGAAGCAACAAAUGCCCUGCUUCCAGGAAAAGCCUCUAAGCAUCAGGUAACAUCAAAUCGUACCCCAAACCGACACAGGUGGUCAGGUAGAGAAUACCAAGGCGCUUGAGAGAACUCGGGUGAAGGAACUAGGCAAAAUGGUGCCGUAACUUCGGGAGAAGGCACGCUGACACGUAGGUGAAGUGAUUUACUCAUGGAGCUGAAGUCAGUCGAAGAUACCAGCUGGCUGCAACUGUUUAUUAAAAACACAGCACUGUGCAAACACGAAAGUGGACGUAUACGGUGUGACGCCUGCCCGGUGCCGGAAGGUUAAUUGAUGGGGUCAGCGCAAGCGAAGCUCCUGAUCGAAGCCCCGGUAAACGGCGGCCGUAACUAUAACGGUCCUAAGGUAGCGAAAUUCCUUGUCGGGUAAGUUCCGACCUGCACGAAUGGCGUAAUGAUGGCCAGGCUGUCUCCACCCGAGACUCAGUGAAAUUGAACUCGCUGUGAAGAUGCAGUGUACCCGCGGCAAGACGGAAAGACCCCGUGAACCUUUACUAUAGCUUGACACUGAACAUUGAGCCUUGAUGUGUAGGAUAGGUGGGAGGCUUUGAAGUGUGGACGCCAGUCUGCAUGGAGCCGACCUUGAAAUACCACCCUUUAAUGUUUGAUGUUCUAACGUGGACCCGUGAUCCGGGUUGCGGACAGUGUCUGGUGGGUAGUUUGACUGGGGCGGUCUCCUCCUAAAGAGUAACGGAGGAGCACGAAGGUUGGCUAAUCCUGGUCGGACAUCAGGAGGUUAGUGCAAUGGCAUAAGCCAGCUUGACUGCGAGCGUGACGGCGCGAGCAGGUGCGAAAGCAGGUCAUAGUGAUCCGGUGGUUCUGAAUGGAAGGGCCAUCGCUCAACGGAUAAAAGGUACUCCGGGGAUAACAGGCUGAUACCGCCCAAGAGUUCAUAUCGACGGCGGUGUUUGGCACCUCGAUGUCGGCUCAUCACAUCCUGGGGCUGAAGUAGGUCCCAAGGGUAUGGCUGUUCGCCAUUUAAAGUGGUACGCGAGCUGGGUUUAGAACGUCGUGAGACAGUUCGGUCCCUAUCUGCCGUGGGCGCUGGAGAACUGAGGGGGGCUGCUCCUAGUACGAGAGGACCGGAGUGGACGCAUCACUGGUGUUCGGGUUGUCAUGCCAAUGGCACUGCCCGGUAGCUAAAUGCGGAAGAGAUAAGUGCUGAAAGCAUCUAAGCACGAAACUUGCCCCGAGAUGAGUUCUCCCUGAGACUUUAGGUCUCCUGAAGGAACGUUGAAGACGACGACGUUGAUAGGCCGGGUGUGUAAGCGCAGCGAUGCGUUGAGCUAACCGGUACUAAUGAACCGUGAGGCUUAACCUUACAACGCCGAAG
rnacentral:rRNA from 1 species